GCACCCGGGAGGAAAGGCGAGGCUCUGCAUCUAGAUUUACCUCGUUCUCUUUUGUCUCCGCUUUUUUUUCACAUUUCCUUGCGCCCCUGGCCCUUGAGCGACAAAAAGGGGAAGCCAAGGCUGGCCCGAGGAACGGAGAGGGCACAUGGCCUAGCCACGAGUGGAGCUUCUGCUCCGCCCGAAGGGAUGCGCUGGAGCGGCCUCUUCCUUCUGCCACGGUCUUUCUUUGCCAACUAAGAUGGGGUUUCACCAGGUUAGCCAGGCUGGUCUUGAACUCCUGACCUCAAGGGAUCCGCCUGCCUCAGCUUUCCAAAGUGCUGGGAUUACAGGUGGAGACUGGACCUCAGAAGAGGGAGUGGGUGCCCCGAGAACUCACAGCUAGUGGACAGCGGAAAGGGCAGGAGCCGGACCAAGGUGAGGACAGCGGAACUGAAGGCCGCUGGUUACCUCUCCUGCCCUCUGCUGGCCACAGUGGAGAAGACAGCCCCUCCCUCCUGCUCUGACCUGACAGUGUUCAUCCAUCGCCCUGUAUUAGCGAAGAACAACAUCAAGCUGGCUAGCAAGGAACUGUAUACAGGGUCCAGCUGGGUAUCACACUGGAUCUCACCCAAAGCUGAGAUGUGAUCCAGCUCCGUAUCACAAAGCAGAACGAAAAGGAUGUGUUUGGGCUGAGAGGCCAUACAUUGGCUCCGGCACGACGGGUGGCUUCUGCAGCACACAGGGCUUCGCCAGCACCCAGCUCCUGCAGCAUGGGCAGCUCCUGUGACAGCAGGCGCCCACAGCCUGCAAAGCGUCUCCAGUGCCGCCGCCUCAGUGAACCGCAACCAGCGGCACCUAGCAGCUUUCUCCGCCACCCUCUUCAGGUAGUUCUGUAGCAGCGCGUUUCUCAUGAGACACUUCCCUGUGAGCAGCUUUUUCUACCCUUGAGGAUGGAUUUCCAGCAAAUUCUGCCCAUGUGGUACCACAGCCACUUCUCUGCCAUUCAGUGAAACUGCCGUUGUGCCCUCUUCAAGGUCUGGAUCUAAGCCCAGGGACCAGGAAACCUCUUGCUUGAGUGCUGGAACUCAGGCCAGAAGGACAUCCCUGUAGAAGUUCUGCUGCGUGUGGUCCAGCCGUCCCCACUCCUCCCGGGAGAGGUACAAGGCUACAUCCUCGAAAGUCACUGGCAUCUGAAACAAUGUGAAACAUCCACUCUCCAGGACAUGAUGUGGACACGGUGGAGGGACACCAUGGCAUGAGAUGUGUGGUGAGACCCCGGAGUCCCAACCCACUAUCUCGAGUGAGGCCUGCCACUUCCAUCUGAUGGGGAAGCGGGUGAGCCACCCAAGGCCUUCUGGGGAGUUGAGAAAGAACAAAGACCAAGAGGUAUUUUCAGGGACCACAGUUAAGACUUAGGAUGUCCAUGCAGCCCCCAUCCUCAGCUGAGACCUCGGAGGACGGUUCCCAAUGGCUCCCAGUGAGAGGCCCUGUGUCUCUAAUUCCUGCUGCUUCUCCUCCAGCUUUGGCCCAGGCCUGACCAUGGGCCUUGAGCCUGGACAAUUCCAGCAACACUAGCAAGAGCCCCAGGCUUCAGGCUUGGCUGCAAGUGGGGCCAGCGGGGUCCUGGCUUUCACACAGAACCAGCAGAUGCAGGAAGGGCUGAGUACCAUGCAGGGGCCGGGGAAGGGCCACUCACCUGGGACCAGGCAGUGAGGAGCGCUGCAGCCAUCUGCCGGUCUCUGGUCCUCCCCUCUCGGGAAAGCACGGGGAUCCGGGGGGAGGGGAGGGCUGUGGGAGGAGAGAGGUCCUCACGGUGACCAGCUCAUCCUGCUGGACCUGCUGCUACUUCAGCUGCCUCAACCUCUACCCCUGGCCCGACCCAAGGACAGGGUCGGAUGGCUCUGACGCUGCCAGGGGGCUGUGGGCCAUGGGGCGAUAGCGUCCCCUGCUGGCAUAGAGACCCUCAGCCCCACCUGGACCUGGGCCAAGCCUCCACCUCCCCACAGCUGCCUCCCUGGGAAAGCGCCUCUUCCCCAUCCCUCUCCUACCUCCGCCAGGCAGGAAGAGAGCUUUCUCCUUAGAGCCGUGACUUAGGGGUGCCCAGCCCCAUGCACCUUGAGCCCCAUCCUCCUGCGAUGCCCCCUCGGAGUGUGGCUCUUCGGGCUCCAUCUUAAUGUGCAGUGACUCCUGAGCGUCCCCUGAAGGUACCGCCUCCCCCAGCUUAGAAGGCAUUUCCUGAUGAGGAUGUCCACGAUCUGGAACCUAGAAAGGACAGCCCCAUCAGCACCCAGAUGAGUGGGAGAGACACCCAGGGCUACAUGCCAGGGCGCUCCGGCAGGGUCGGAAACCAACAUGCAAGACGCAGCUUGAAGGACUGUCCUUGCUGCCUUCAUCCAGCUCACCCCAGCAAGGAGGGGCGGCAAGAGGAGGAAUAUUCACCAAGCCGCCUCCACAGUGCCGGUGGGCGUGGUGCCCAAGGGCAGCUACCCCUUCUCAGCUCCAGCCUCACACUGACCUCAGCAGUGUAGACUGCUGUCUAUUAGUGUAUGAAGAAACCAAGUGUAGUGGCUUGAAUAGUGUCCUCUAAGAAUCCGUGUCCUCCCUGAACCUCAGAACGGGACCUUAUUGGGGAAAAGGGUCUUUAUACAGGUAAGUUAAAGAUCUUGAGAUUAAAUCAUCGUGAAUUUAGAGUGAGCCUAAAAUCUAACAAUGACUUAUGUCCUUAUAAGAAUAGGAGAGGACACAGAGACACAGAGAAGGAAGCAGAGACUGGAGGGAUGCCCACACCAAGGACACCAGGAGCCCCCAAGGAGUUGGAAGAGACGGAGUUUCGCUCUUCUUGCCCAUGCUGGAGUGCAAUGGCGCAAUCUCAGCUCACCCCAACCUCCGCCUCCUGGGUUCGAGCGAUUCUCCUGCCUCAGCCUCCUGAUUACCUGGGAUUACAGGCAUGUGCCACCACACCUGGCUAAUUUUGUGUUUUUAGUAGAGACGGGGUUUCUCCAUGUUGGUCAGGCUGGUCUGGAACUCCUGACCUCAGGUGAUCCGCCCACCUCAGCCUCCUAAAAUGCUGGGAUUACAGGCGUGAGCCACCGCGCCCAGCCUAUAAAAUUGAUUCUUUAAAAAAAAUUAGAACAUUUACCGAUGCUGGACCCACCUUCCCCACCUUCAGGGUCCACUUUCUAGGUGGCCACAGUGCCUGCUUGGCCCCUGUAGCAUUUGAGUUUGCAACUCUGCUUUUGGAGUUAAACAUGUUUUAGGAGUCCUGGGAUUCUGAUUGAUGCUAUUGUCAAUUUGAUGAAAGAGAAAUUACUCCUGGGA
rnacentral:antisense_RNA from 1 species